GGUACUCGAGUGGCGAACGGGUGAGUAACACGUGAGUAACCUGCCCUUGACUUUGGGAUAACUUCAGGAAACUGGGGCUAAUACCGGAUAGGAGCUCCUGCUGCAUGGUGGGGGUUGGAAAGUUUCGGCGGUUGGGGAUGGACUCGCGGCUUAUCAGCUUGUUGGUGGGGUAGUGGCUUACCAAGGCUUUGACGGGUAGCCGGCCUGAGAGGGUGACCGGCCACAUUGGGACUGAGAUACGGCCCAG
rnacentral:rRNA from 1 species